rnacentral:ncRNA from 1 species
GCCUUCUCAGCUGCUUCGUGUUAAUAGUGAGGUUCAUGGCCGAUCCUCAUGGUUAGUGAAUC